UACAGAGGUCUCAAGCGUUGUUCGGAUUCAUUGGGCGUAAAGAGCUCGUAGGCGGCUUGUCGCGUCGACUGUGAAAACCCGCGGCUCAACUGCGGGCCUGCAGUCGAUACGGGCAGGCUAGAGUUCGGUAGGGGAGACUGGAAUUCCUGGUGUAGCGGUGAAAUGCGCAGAUAUCAGGAGGAACACCAGUGGCGAAGGCGACUACCUGGCCUGUUCUUGACGCUGAGGCGCGAAAGCUAGGGGAGCAAACGGG
rnacentral:rRNA from 1 species